rnacentral:rRNA from 1 species
UACGUAGGGGGCAAGCGUUGGUCCGGAUUUAUUGGGCGUGAAAGGGCGCAGGUAGGCGGACGAUCACAGUCAGAUGUGAAAUUCCUGGGCUUAACCUGGGGGCUGCAUUUGAUACGGUGGUUGCUUGAGUGGGGAAGAGGGGUCGUGGAAUUCCCGAGUGUAGGAGGUGAAAGUUCGUGAGAUAUUGGGAAGAACACCGGUGGCGAAGGCGGCGACCUGGUCCUUGACUGAC